rnacentral:rRNA from 1 species
GAUGAACGCUGGCGGCGUGCCUAAUACAUGCAAGUCGAGCGAACAGACGAGGAGCUUGCUCCUCUGACGUUAGCGGCGGACGGGUGAGUAACACGUGGAUAACCUACCUAUAAGACUGGGAUAACUUCGGGAAACCGGAGCUAAUACCGGAUAAUAUAUUGAACCGCAUGGUUCAAUAGUGAAAGACGGUUUUGCUGUCACUUAUAGAUGGAUCCGCGCCGCAUUAGCUAGUUGGUAAGGUAACGGCUUACCAAGGCAACGAUGCGUAGCCGACCUGAGAGGGGGAGCGGCCACACGGGAACUGAGACACGGUCCAGACUCCUACGGGAGGCAGCAGUAGGGAAUCUUCCGCAAUGGGCGAAAGCCUGACGGAGCAACGCCGCGUGAGUGAUGAAGGUCUUCGGAUCGUAAAACUCUGUUAUUAGGGAAGAACAAAUGUGUAAGUAACUAUGCACGUCUUGACGGUACCUAAUCAGAAAGCCACGGCUAACUACGUG